rnacentral:lncRNA from 1 species
CUACACAAGAUGAAACUAGAAGGAGACCUACAACAUUUGCUCGUACAAGAGGUUUUCAUGGUGAAGCUACACCAUUAGCUCGUCCUGAUGUUGAUGACCAGCACAAGUAUGUUUUUGAGGAGGACGUUGUUGAGCAAAGGAUGUUGGUCAACUAGAACAUAUAAUGAGUGAAUUUCCUAGAGAUCCAACGACACAUUUUUUCUAAUGACCUAUGCCGAUCAUGUAGCAUUUGCAUUGUGGGAUUUAAUCGAGUAGAUGAAUAUUUUUUUUACUUUAUUGUAAGAAUAAAAAACGUUUUAAAGAACUAUUCUUUAUUGUAAGAAUUCUUUAUAGGAGUCAUUGACGUGUCUUUAGGAGUCCUUCUUUGGUAUUCUCACCG